rnacentral:rRNA from 1 species
AGCAGCCGCGGUAAUUCCAGCUCCAAUAGCGUAUAUUAAAGUUGUUGCAGUUAAAAAGCUCGUAGUUGAAUUUCGGAAUCAGUACGCUGGUCAUGCCUCUGGUAUGUACUGGUGUCACUGGUUCCUCCCUUCUGAAGAACCAUCAUGCCAUUCACUUGGUGUGGUGAGGAAUCAGGACUGUUACUUUGAAAAAUUAGAGUGUUUAAAGCAGGCUCACGCUUGAAUACAUUAGCAUGGAAUAAUGAAAUAGGACGUUGAUCUUAUUUUGUUGGUUUCUAGGAUUGACGUAAUGAUUAAUAGGGAUAGUUGGGGGCAUUAGUAUUCAAUUGUCAGAGGUGAAAUUCUUGGAUUUAUUGAAGACUAACUACUGCGAAAGCAUUUGCCAAGGAUGUUUUCAUUAAUCAAGAACGGAAGUUAGGGGAUCGAAGACGAUCAGAUACCGUCGUAGUCUUAACCAUAAACUAUGCCGACUAGGGAUCGGAUGAUGUAUUUUUUAUGUA